rnacentral:rRNA from 1 species
UAAGCCUGUGAAGGUGGCCUGUGAGGGUUGCUGGAGGUAUCAGAAGUGCGAAUGCUGACAUAAGUAACGAUAAAGCGGGUGAAAAGCCCGCUCGCCGGAAGACCAAGGGUUCCUGUCCAACGUUAAUCGGGGCAGGGUGAGUCGACCCCUAAGGCGAGGCCGAAAGGCGUAGUCGAUGGGAAACGGGUUAAUAUUCCCGUACUUGGUGUUACUGCGAAGGGGGGACGGAGAAGGCUAUGUUGGCCGGGCGACGGUUGUCCCGGUUUAAGCGUGUAGGU